GACAUCAGAGCUCGUGUGGCUUUGAUAAUGGAGGGGGGCGUGUCUGGACCCUCAACAUUAUUAAAAUGGUAGGCUGAUAUGAAGAUUUUGUAGAUGAUGCGGACUUUUGCUGUGAAGUCUGAAUUUGUUGACUGGACUCCCUCAUCCCAACGGUUCCCCUAAAUCCCCCCGGUCUCCAUCAAGGACACGCUGCUGCAUUUAUUCGUGCGUGUAUUCCGGGGUGCGCGGGCCUGCUCAACUGAUUGAGGUCUCCAUGGACGUGAGAAGGAUCGGGGUCUGUUCUGUCGCUAUUUGGGGGAUUUUAAAUUUAAACAUUUUCCUCCCCUUUUCGUUUUUUUCUACCUACGCCCAACAGUGGUCAAUCGGGAGAGCGCCCUCUGGUGGUAUCCUCCAGUCCUUACAAAAAUAGGAAAUGCACAUUCCAACACGGCGAGCAGGUCGCCACGAACGCCCAACUGCUCGUCAGCACCAUCAAACCGACAGAAACAGGGGUAUGGUGCUGGCAAGGCCGCACCAAGAAAGAGAAGCGACAGGGGUCCCAAGUCCACCCCAUGGGAAAAGCUGCAGGAUCCGGCUGGGUUAGGAGAACAGGCGUUAAGACCCUACCCUCCAUCAGAGGGCGGGGUAAUUGCACACUCCAUACAGCCCCGUGUCUGCUGGAGCCUGGACACAGGUCCAGCAGGUGGAAAGGACACCCCCCCCCGCCCCCCCUUUGUGGUUUCCAUCGAACUGGUGAAGGGAAGGCAAACUGGAUCCAAUGGUUUCAGGAUGUGCGUUCGCGACUUUCACAGCUCGACAGAUGGCCCAGGCAGCCAUCAAGUCCAUGCACCAGUCCCAGACCAUGGAGGUGCCCGUCCUGACACUGCUGUCUCCGCCCCCUCCCUGCUCACAACUUCUAUAUGUUGCAGGGAUUCUCCUCCCCCAUCGUGGUGAAGUUUGCAGACACCAAGACGGACAAGGAGCAGAAGUGUCUGGCUCAGCAGCUGCAGAUGCAGCAGCUCAGCUCCGCCUCCAUGUGGGGGAACCUGACCGCUUCGGCAGCCUGGGGCCGCAGUACCUCGCCGUAUGUGUUCAAAGACCACCUGUCCUGCAGCCAUCCAGAACACUUCCUGUCUGACCCUUCCUCUCUGCUGCAGCUCUACCUGCAGCUGCUGCAGCAGUCUGCCUCCCCCGGUUUCAGGUCUGAAUACCAUGCAGAACUUGCCCAAUUUAGCAGCAGCAGCUGCACAGGUCACGCCCUCGGGGUCCAGCACCAUGACCACCUCUAGCAGCCCGCUGAGCGCAAGCCAGCUCAGGUAACCACCGAUCUCGGUUGUCUAACGUCUUUGUUUCACCCCCCAGGACUGAAUCUCCGUUCCAUUCAUUCACACGGACUUCAGUUAAAAACGUAGAAAUGCUCCUCCUCACUUUGGUUUAACCCGCGGCGGUCUGAGGAGAACCACCGACUGAAGUGAACCAAGCCCAUCCUGCAGUUCCAACAGCUGCUCAGAGGGGAGCGCUACUGUCUGAAAUGAGAUAAGUGUCUGCUCCUCUGAUUCUCAUCUGUGAAAAAGCUCUUACUGUAAUUUUUUCCUAAUGUUUCCUGAACCUCAUUUUUUUCAGCAUUGUGCAUGCUGAUUAACUGAGUAAGAAGCUUCUGUCAAAAAUCAGUCAUUCCCGUCUUCCUUGAAAAAAACUUUAUUAGCUUUGAUGUUGGUUUUCCCCCCCUUUUCCCCCCAAAUUUAGACAAGCAAUAUUGUUAGGGAAAAUUUCACCCCUACUUAUGAUGCAUUGCACUUGACCACAGAAUGACAAAAAUAAAGUGACACACAAUGAUGAUUUUUCAUCAGAAUUGCUGAGGUUUGUUCAAUCAGUUUGUAAAGGGAUCCAGGGGUGAAGAGCUGAAGUUUGUUGGCUUUUUCUCAUUAGUGAUCGAACCUAUUUUGGUGAAACGGUGAUGGAGAUCUGUGUCUGAGAAAUGGGGAUGGAGAUCUGUGUCUGUGAAAUGGGGAUGGAGAUAAAUCUCGGCGAAAAGGGGAUGGUUCCCCUCUAAAUGCAUUGUUUCCUGGUACACUAAGGUUAUCUUUUGGAGGAUUUGGAUAAGUGAUCCGACCUAAGCCCCCUGCCUGUCGUAAUUCCUCAAUGACUCCAGCCAUUGUUGAUCUUCGAGAUGGGUUUUGCUCCACCAUUCGACAAACUGGACUGCAGUAAGCUUGAGUCCCCAGGACCUCUCGGAUCUUCGCUGGACAGACGCACCUCUGGAGGGGAGUAAGCCUCGUUUCCCAUGUCAACUGCGGAGCUCAGUCCAUACCUGAAGAACUUGGCCAGUCCCAAGUCAAUGAUCACAGCUCGGUUUGUGCCAUGUUCAACCUAAAAAGCAAAGAAUACAAA